AUGCUUUACAUAAUCACUACAAUUGCUGCUAUCAGAAUGGCCCCGAAUAAGUUGGAAAAGAAGCUAAGGAAGGAAGCAAAGAGAAAGAAAACAAUACAAUGGAAAAGAACAGUGUUAAAGAAAAGACAGAAACAGACAACCCUAGACCACUUUUUAGUUCUGAAAAGGUGGGGACCUAAGGAGCCAGAAGCAGGUCCCAGUGGGCCACAGACUCUCCCAAGGAGAGAAAGAGCAGCAGAGAGUCGGAUUCCCAAAGUUCUUAUGAAAGGGGAUCUGCUUCCGAACAAUAACCACCUUCCGUGUCAUCCUCCCUUCCUGCAAGCCAGAGCUGUCAACCUGAAUGGAAAAACAAGCAUCAUUAAGUAUAAACGCAACCCUCUCCAUAAGGCAGCUUUCCACUUCGUGGCCGAGUUCCAGAGGAGACCAGGCUGGCCAGUAUGGGGACCAAAUUCCAGGUCUGGGCUCUGUGGAGAAUCUCUCCUUGUCUGCCACCUUCUUCUUGGUCUCACGUGAAGCUAUAUAGUCACGGAUGCUGGCACAUUCUCCACACGCCAGAGAAGACUGACCUGGCAGGGUGGCUGCAGGACACAAACCCUGUGCCAUCGUCUCCUUCCUGACACCGCUCCUUCCUUGGCCUCCAGGCCACGCGGGUAUGAAUUCUGGCCCUGCACUCAGGCUUGUGUGACCGUGGGCAGGUAAGACUGUUUAUCUUCUACAAAAUCCAAAUAUAACGGCAGGGUUGUCGUGAGGGUCAAAGUAUCACCGCAAAGCACUGCGUGGAUGCAUGGUAAGCACCAGCAUCCUGCCCUGCCUUGGGAUCCAGUUCAGGCUCCACCCUGCACCUGCCUCUUGAUGUGGGGCAGCUGCACCCUGCUUCCCACCGACUCCCACACGCUCGGCUGCCUUCCAGUCCUCUGCUGGCCUCCUGCAUGUGCUGACCCCACGAUUCUGCACUGUCCAUCUGCGCCUGUCCCCGUGGCUACGGCCGCACAGUCACACCAGAUCAGGUGUGUCUACGCUUACGAACACAUUACCUUUUUUCCCGUUCUUUACCCCAGAUGCCGGGAUGUGAGUGCUGCAGGGGACCUUCACCAUCAGCACCUCGGCCUAAAGACCCCCCACUGUGAUACUUUUGCACCCAAAUAAGGAUUUGUGUAAGUCCUCCAAUUUUUCUUUUAUUUUUCCCUUAUUUUAUUGAUAUAUUUUAGACAAACGUAACAAUCACAGUCAUCAUAGGGAGUUUGCAUCUGGAUGUGACAUACCUUCUUUUUUUCCCAUCCCCCCUUUCCUUUCACCCCUUUGCCCCAUUUAUUUACAAAAGCUUCGUUUCCAUUUUUUUCUAUUCCUUUUUUUCUCUCCCUUCCUUUCCCCCUCACUCCUCCUUUGUCCCCUUUCUCAUGUGAACAUUUUCUUCCCAUUUCCCUACACCUAUUACACAUUUUGAGGACCUGGGCUUUUUCAUUUUAUUUUAUUUUUUCCUAGGGUUUUUUUUUUUUUAGUUGGUAGUUUUUAAAAUUACUUUUUCAAUUUCAUUGACUGAUACUGGAUCAUUCAGAACUUUUAUAUCUUCUUGGUUCAGCUCUGAUAGUUCAUAUGUAUCUAGGAAUCUAUCCAUUUCUUCUGAAUCUUCAAUUUUAUUAGAGUACAGGUUAUCAAAGUAGUUACCAGUGAUCUUUCGGAUUUUGGCAGAGUAUGUUGUGAUUUUACCUUUUUCAUUUCUAAUUGCAUGCAUCUGGGUCUUUCUUUCCUUAUUCUGCUAAAACCUCAGCUCCUCCAGUUUUUCAGUCCCCCUGAAAGUGCAGAAGCCACAAGGUAGCAUGUCAGCCCAGGCCUGGCUUGACUUGGAGUAGAAAGGAAACUGUGUUACUCAUUAUGCUCAUGGCUCAGGGUUGUAACUUAAGUGUAUAUUAGGACUUCAUCAACUGUGUCAUAGCAUUGACUCUUUCAAAUUUGUGGCCAGCUAAAAGCCUAG
ensembl:lincRNA